CGGAUUCAGACUAGCCAUGCACGUCUAAGUACAAACUAAAUGAUGGUGAAACUGCAAAUGGCUCAUUACAACGGUUAUGAUGUACCCGGGAGUUCCGAUGGAUAUUUCCAGUAACACUAGAACUAAUACAUGUCCCUGCGUUUAUUAGUUUCGCACAGUCCGUCGCUGAGUCAUGGUAAACAGUUGAUCGACUCGACGUCCCGGAACAGUUUCCGCCCCAUCAGCUUCGAUGGUUGGGUAUUGGCCUACCAUUGCAACAACGGGUAACGAGGAAUUAGGGUUUGAUUUCGGAGAGGGAGCCUGAGAAACGGCUACCACAUCUACGGAUGGCAGCAGGCGCGCAAAUUACCCAAUGCAGACACUGUGAGGUAGUGACGAGAAAUAAUAAAGCGGGACUUCUGUUUCGCUAUUAUAAUGAGGAAUAACCAAAGGUCAUUCCGAUUAGCAACUGAUGGGAAAGUCUGGUGCCAGCAGCCGCGGUAAUACCAGCGUCAGUAGCA
rnacentral:rRNA from 1 species